ACCAUAUCCGCCGGACUGUCCUCAGUACCAAUUUUCUUAACAGUCAUUGUGCACUUCCCAAUCACAUCCCGAACAAACUGAAAUUUUACAUCGAUGUGCUUUGUUCUCUCAUGAAACAUCUGAUAUUUCGACAAAUGAAUAGCACUUUGACUGUCUGAAUAAACAAUCGUCGGAUCCCAACAAAAAGUAAACUCUCCAAUUAAGCCUCUUAGCCAUAUAGCUUACUUCACACCCUCUGUCAUAGCAAUAUAUUCCGCCUCCGUCGUAGACAAGGCGACAAUAGGUUGUAGUGAAGCUUUCCAACUAACUGCACAUCCGCCAAUAGAGAAUAUAUAACCUGAAAGUGAUCUCCUCCUAUCCAAAUCACCUAUAAAAUUCGAAUCAACAUAUUUAACCACACCAUCCUUAUACCUCCCAAACUCCAAACAAGUGCUAGUGGUACCUCGUAAGUAUCUCAAAAUCCACUUAAUAGCUUGCCAAUGAGCCUUACCAAGAUUGGUCAUAUAUCUGCUAGCCAUGCUCACUGCGUAGGAGAAGUCCGACCGUGUGCAAAUCAUAGCGUACAUGAUGCUCCCGACGGUACUAGAAUAAGGAACAUGUGAUAUGUACCCCUGCUCAUCAUCGGACUGCGGUGAUAACUAAGCGGAAAGUCUGAAAUGCACAACAAAAGGAGUGCUCACUGGUUUUGCAUCUGUCAUCCCGAAACGCUUUAAAAUCUUCUCUAUAUAUUUUUCUUGUGUCAAAUGCAGUAGUCUUGACUUGUUGUCCCUCUUUAUUUCCAUACCAAAGAUUUUCUUAGUAGCACCUAGAUCUUUCAUCUCAAACUCAUCCUUAAGUAAAGCCUUCAAUUUAUUUAUCUCAACUAUGUUAUUAGAAGCAAUUAACAUAUCAUCAACAUAGAGCAACAAAUAUAUGAAAGAUCACUUAUCAAGCUUUCUGAAAUAUAUGCAACUGUCAUGCUUGCUGCUGGAGUAUCCGUGACCUGUCAUGAAGGAGUCGAACCGCUUGUACCAUUGUCAAGGAGACUGUUUUAAGCUAUAAAGCGAUUUCUUUAACAGGCAAACAUGGUCCUUCUUUUCUUCAACAAUGAAUACCUUCAGCUGUUUCAUAUAAAUUUGCUCCUUAAGUUCUCCAUGCAGAAAACCUGUCUUAACAUCAAGUUACUCAAAAUACAGGUCAUUCAUGGUUACUAACGAUAAAAGAAUACGAAUAGAAGUAUGCUUUACGACGGGUGAGAAAAUAUCAUUAAAGUCAACACCUUCUACCUGACUGUAGCCCUUAGCAACUAAACGAGUUUUAUACCUUGUAUCUUCCACGCCGAGGAUUCCGUCCUUUUUCUUGUAGACCAAUUUCCAACUAACAAUUUUCUUGCCUGUAGACGGUUUUACAAACUCCCAUGUGCGAUUCUUAUUGAGAGACUCCAUAUUCUCAUUCAUCACCACCAACCACUCUGCAAAACUGGCACCACAAAUAGCUUGAUUAUAUGUGGAAGGUUCACAUUCUUUUUCUGUAUCUUAUGCCACUCAAAAAGCGUAGCAAUUAUAUUUUCAUAACUGUAUCUCUGCGGUGGUUUGAUCUGUCUCCUCGCUCUGCUUGUAGCAAUGCUCUACCUCUCAACUUGUGGGGUUUCAGUUACUGAGGUGUCUGCUGACUGAAUUUAUUCUGACUUAGAAGAAUCCGGCGACUGAACUAUACCAUUGGUCUCUACCUCCACCUGCUUGCUAGCACUCGGGAUCUCAUCAAAAGAAUUACGGUUAGAAUAUAAUAUAGCAGAUUCAUCAAAUGUGACAUCCCUACUAAUAAUUAAUUUAGACGAUUCAGGACACCACAAUCUAUAUCCCUUAACCCCCGAUGCAUAACCAAUAUAAAUGCACUUUUUAGCCCUAGGUUCUAACUUGCCUUCAUUGACAUGAACAUAAGUAGGACAACCAAAUAUUCGCAAAUUAGAAUAAUCAGAAGGGCUGCCAGACCAUAGCUCCUAAGGAGUUUUGCAAUCAAGUGCUGAAUAUGGAGAUUGAUUCACCAAAUAGCAUGUCGUAGAGAUCGCCUCUGCCUAGAGAGCAUACAACGAGCUCUCUCUAAAGGAGUUCUAUUCAUCUGUUCGGCCACCCCGUUCUGUUGUGGAGUAUGCCUAAUGGUCUUAUGUCUAACGAUUCCUUCCUUCUUGCAAAAUUCUUCAAACUCUGAUGAACAAAAUUCCAAACCGUUGUCGGUCCUUAAUCUCUUGAUCUUCUUUCCAUUUUGCUUCUCAAUUAUGACCUUCCACUGUUUAAAAUAAUUGAACACAUCAUCCUUACUUUUCAGAAAGAACGCCCACACUUUACGAGAAUAGUUGUCAAUAAAAGUCAACAUAUAUCUAGCACCACCAUGAGUAGGAGUAUGAGAGGGUCUUCAAAGAUCAGAAUGAAUAUAGUCUAGAGUACCUUUUGUCCAGUGAAUUGCGGCCUUAAAGCUGACUCUCUUUUGUUUGCGAAGAACACAAUGCUCGCAGAAAUCUAACUUUUCUAAACUCUGACUAUCAAGUAGACCUCUCUCACUCAACUUCAUCGUACCAUAUUCACUCAUAUAGCCCAGUCGCAUAUGCCAUAAUCUGGUGCUAUCAAAAUCUGACAUAGAGGAAUAAGUCACCGCUGCCGAGCCCGUCACAGUGGAACACUGUAGAACAUAUAACAUGUCGGACAACUUGGCUUUCAUCACUACAAAAUUUUCUUAAACCGACCUUCAUUAAUCCAUCAGCUGAAGAAUACUUAAAGCCUUUAGCAUCAAGCAUACCGAAUGAGAUCAGAUUUUUUUCUCAUAUCUGGAACAUGCCGAACCUUAGAUAUAGUCAUCACUACUCCGUCGAACAUCUGUACCCGAACAGUGCCAAUUCCAAAACUGUACACUUAGAGUAAUUUCCCAUCAAUAUAUCUCCACCUUCAAUAGGCUUGUACGUCGAGAAUCAUUCUCUAUGCGUGCAAAUAUGGAAAGAGCACGCAGAGUUCAUAAGCCACUCAUUCUGUCUACGUGUCUUAUCUGUAACUGUGAAGAUGAUAUCAUUUUUAUUUGAUUCUCCUGCUGCAACACUUGCUUCUGCUUCAGUAUUGAUGUUUUUCUAAUCUUGAUUUUUAUCACCAUUAUUCUUUCGCUGCUCUUUAUGUUUCAACUUGAAACAAUUAGCUUUUAUGUGACCCUUCUUCUUACAAUAAUCACAAAUCAGAUUUCUGUGUUUUGACUUAGAUCUAGAUGUAUCUGUAUUACCGAAACCCUUCUCUCGAGACCUCCCUCUAGCGACCAAAUCUUGUCCUAAAACUCCACCUGUCUCGUUACUUAUCUGCAUGUCAAUUUUCUCUUUUAAAAGUAAAAAGGAUUUAACAUCAUUGAGACAUAGAAUAUCUCGUCCAAAUAAGAAGGUCUCACGAAAAUUCUUAUAAGAGGGCGGUAGAGAACAUAAUAAUAAAAUUAAAAGCUUCAUCUUCCUCCUCGAUUUUAACAUCUAUCGAGUGGAGAUCCAUAACAAUAGAAUUAAAUUCAUCUAAAUGCGACUUAAUAGAGAUACCUUCCGCCAUGCGCAACAUGAAGAGACGUUGCUUCAAAUAUAACUUGUUGGUGAAAGACUUCGUCAUGUAGAGAGACUCCAAUUUAAGCCAAAGCCCUGCAGCGGUUUUUCAUCUAAGAGCUCGCGCAAUACCUCAUCGGACUUCUGAAUCUCAAAUUUCGUCGUCAUCUUAAUUCUCAAAGUGAAUAGAAAGGCUCUGAUACCAGUUUGUAAAAAUCAGAACGGCGAAAAAUAAAUUUAGAAAAUAACUUAAUGUAGGAAAAGAAAAGAAAAGGAAAGAGCACACCGAUAUUUAUGUGGUUCGACCAACAGUCUAUAUCCACGAACGAAGACGGAGCAAAUAAUUUAUUAAUAUCGAAAGGUGGAGUACAAAGAAUAUCGCUCAAAGAAUCUCAUAAUCCAAAUAAAUAAAUCGACGCGCAUAUGCAUAUAGCAUCUCUAAUUUACCACGUCCGUACAAUGAGAUCCUUUGGCUCGGCACCUUGGUUGACUUAAUUAAUUGAGGAACACUAAAAAGAAAAGCAACAACGACUAAUUAAUUAGAGGAUUGCAUAACCCUUAAUUUUUGGUCGCACCGGCUUCAUUAAUUUGGCCACGUAUAUAUAGGGCAUGGCUUUGAAUUAGAGUUUAAUUGGAACUCUAAUCUAAUUGAAUUUCUAAACACAAGUCUAAUCUAAUUCAAUUUGAAAUUAGAUUCCGACUCAUAAUCCAUAUAUGCCAAAUAAUAUCUAAUCCCAAUUAGAUUAGGAUUUAACUUCAAUUUAGGUAACUACAAGUCUAAACCAAAUAUAACCGAAUUUUUUCGGAAUUUCUUUAAAACUUAAAUUAAACUUUCGAAUUAUUUUACGCAAUAUUUUAAUAAAAGGUCAAAAAGAUUUUACUGUGCUCCUAACAGCACUGUGGCUCUACUUAUAUAUAUUGUAGAACUUGUGCGCUAUAACCAACAUAGAGACCUUAUUGCUUGCUUUUAAGUCGUUUUCGAUGAUUGAAUUUUCGAAUCAAUGAUUAGCUCAAGAUCAUGAGGCGACAUGAGACUUGUCUCGCUAGCUUUUGUCAUUCCGAUCCUAAUUUAGCCUGUUAAUCACCGACCCUAAUUUAGUAUGCCAUUCCAACCCUGGCUCAGCCAAGACUCAUCUCAUACUUCCGGCUGGUUAACUAGCUCUGAUACCAAAUGUAACGGCCCAGCCCACUAGUAAUAAUAACUGGUUCGGCCCAAACGCCGGCUCAAAAUGCUUAAGCACAGUUAUUAUUACUAGUGUUUAAAUCUCUUAUAUACUCAAUCACAUCUCUAUUUUUAUCUGAUGUGAAAUUAUUGGAAUGUGACAAGAAGUAGGAGAUCUUACUUGAUACUUCUAAUUUUAUUAUGUGAAAAAUCUAUUAUUGUAACAGAAGAUCUAUGGCUACUGAAUUGGAUAUGGCCUAAUUAACUUGAGAUGCUUUCAUCACUGUCCAACAAGCGGAAAGUAGAGAUCAUGAUAUCCUGCCGUCGGUUGCACUCGACUAAGCACAUGCAGCUUCUAUUUCGGGCGUCGGUGAUGGCAGCCUUAGCCUGCAAAAGAAAAUUCUGGAGAAAUUUUAUCACAAUCUUAUCUUAUCUUUAUCUUAUCUUUUCUUAUACAAUACAUGAAAGGGGAAUCUGAAAUAUAUACGGCCGUGCUAUCCGGAUUUGGGACAAAUCGGUGGAGCCCACUUCUUUUUCAUUCUCCUCUCUCUCAUAUGAGUUUUUNCCUACACCAAGUCUAAAAAUUUAUUAUAUGAACUAAACCUAUUUUUUAAUAAUUAAUAUAAUAAAAUUAGAAUUUUAUUUUAUAAAUAUAAUUUAUGAAAUAUAAAAAAUCUAAAUACAAAACUUAAUAGAUUUUUAUUUUUAUAAUAAAGUUUUAUAAAAUAUAGUGCGAGCACCCGAUAUAUAAAAUAUCCUCAAAUAUUCUUCAAUUUGAUUUUAGCUCUAAUACAAAUAAAGUUUAGCGUUGACAACAAGAUAACGUCAUCUAAUAUAAGUCCUCCAAUUUUAACUUUUCGGUUAAAAAUUUAUUUAUAGAAUAACUAUCAAAACUAUUAAAUCUAAUUAAACUUUUUAAAUAAAGUUACUAGAAUAAUUUAACUAUAUAAAUACUAGAAGUUAAAAAAAAAAUAUUAAUAAAAAUGUUAUUUUUUAUAAUGUACAUUAGACUACUUUAUAGACUUUUUUUCUUUAGCUAUAAUUUUUUUAAUUUUAAAAUUUCAAUAAAAUGUACAUAUUAAUUGGUUGAUCAAAUACUAUUAGCUGUUGCAAAGCACGGAUCCUAUAUUAGUACAGAAAUAAGAUUAUGUGUUUACAAACAUAUAUAUGAUCUUUUUUAGUACUUUUGAGUUUAAAUUAAAUAGACGAUAACCGUUAAAUAGAAUGUGGUUAGUUCAAUGUGGAUAAAUGAUGCUUGGUUAAGGUAAGUAUACACAAAAUUUCAGCAAGUGCAUUCUAGAAUAUUGUUAAUCCAGUGAUUUAGCUAGCUCCUCGACUUAAGGUACUAAUAA
rnacentral:lncRNA from 1 species